GAACGCUGGCGCGUGCCUAACACAUGCAAGUCGAGCGAUGAAGCUUCUUCGGAAGUGGAUUAGCGGCGGACGGGUGAGUAACACGUGGGUAACCUGCCUCAUAGUGGGGAAUAGCCUUUCGAAAGGAAGAUUAAUACCGCAUAAGAUUGUAGCUUCGCAUGAAGUAGCAAUUAAAGAUUUAUCGGUGAUGGAUGGGGAUGCGUCUGAUUAGCUUGUUGGCGGGGUAACGGCCCACCAAGGCAACGAUCAGUAGGGGUUCUGAGAGGAAGGUCCCCCACAUUGGAACUGAGACACGGCCCAGACUCCUACGGGAGGCAGCAGUGGGGAAUCUUCCGCAAUGGGCGAAAGCCUGACGGAGCAACGCCGCGUGAGUGAAGAAGGUCUUCGGAUCGUAAAGCUCUGUUGUCGGGGGACGAAUGUUGAGACCUAGAACAUAGGUUUCAAAUGACGGUACCUGACGAGGAAGCCACGGCUAACUACGUG
rnacentral:rRNA from 1 species